GCCAUCUGCACCCUCCAGCUCUCACCCGUCUAUUUUCGCGCAUCGUAUCGACUUGGAGUCGUGCCAAAUUGAGCGCUCCACCCAAUGUCUCCCCUUCUAACCCUUCCCACCAUAGAUGGCCAGCC
ensembl:ncRNA W06A7.8 ncRNA